GUGUUGUAUGAAAGGAGAGAAGGUUAGCACUCCCCUUGACAAGGAUGGAAGAGGCCCCCGGGCCUGACAACACGCAUAUGGUUAAGGCAUUGCCACCUACUUCUAUCAAACUGUACCAGCUGGCUUU